GAGUUUGAUCCUGGCUCAGAACGAACGCUGGCGGCAUGCUCAACACAUGCAAGUCGAACGAGAUCUUCGGAUCUAGUGGCGCACGGGUGCGUAACGCGUGGGGAUCUACCAUAGGGUGCGGAGUAACUCAGAGAAAUUUGAGCUAAUACCGCAUAAUGUCUUCGGACCAAAGAUUUAUCGCCCUUUGAUGAACCCGCGUAAGAUUAGCUUGUUGGUGAGGUAAAGGCUCACCAAGGCGACGAUCUUUAGCUGGUCUGAGAGGAUGAUCAGCCACACUGGGACUGAGACACGGCCCAGACUCCUACGGGAGGCAGCAGUGGGGAAUAUUGGACAAUGGGCGAAAGCCUGAUCCAGCAAUGCCGCGUGAGUGAUGAAGGCCUUAGGGUUGUAAAGCUCUUUUACCAGGGAUGAUAAUGACAGUACCUGGAGAAUAAGCUCCGGCUAACUCCGUGCCAGCAGCCGCGGUAAUACGGAGGGAGCUAGCGUUGUUCGGAAUUACUGGGCGUAAAGCGCGCGUAGGCGGUUACUCAAGUCAGAGGUGAAAGCCCGGAGCUCAACUCCGGAACUGCCUUUGAAACUAGGUGACUAGAAUCUUGGAGAGGCGAGUGGAAUUCCGAGUGUAGAGGUGAAAUUCGUAGAUAUUCGGAAGAACACCAGUGGCGAAGGCGACUCGCUGGACAAGUAUUGACGCUGUGGUGCGAAAGCGCGGGGAGCAAACAGGAUUAGAUACCCUGGUAGUCCACGCCGUAAACGAUGAUAACUAGCUGCUAGGGCCCACAGGGCUUUGGUGGCGCAGCUAACGCAUUAAGUUAUCCGCCUGGGGAGUACGGUCGCAAGAUUA
rnacentral:rRNA from 1 species